rnacentral:rRNA from 1 species
GACGAACGCUGGCGGCGUGCUUAAUACAUGCAAGUCGAACGGACCGAGGCCGUUAGUUUACUAUGGGUAAAGGUUAGUUGCGGACGGGUGAGUAACGCGUGGGCAAUCUGCCCCUAAGUCCGGGAUAACAUAGCGAAAAUUCUGCUAAGACCGAAUACUCUUGACUAGCCGCAUGGGUGGUAAAGGAAAGGGAACGAUUAGGGAUGAGCCCGCGUCCCAUUAGCUAGUUGGUGAGGUAACGGCACACCAAGGAAACGAUGUGUAGCCGGCGUGAGAGGGUGGACGCACACACCGGGAGUGAGCAACGGCGGAGAAUUCUGCGGGAGGGAGCAGUAGGGAAUCCUCGGAAAUGGGGGACAGGAUGAACGCGUACCGCUGCGUGAGGGACGAUGGUCUUAGGAAAGUAACCCUUUCUAAUAGCGGACGAACAUGACGGUACUCGAGGAGGAAGCACCGGCUAACUACGUG